UAUUAAAUUUAAUUCUAAUUUAAUAUUAUAAAGAAAUAUAAGAAGUAUAGAAUAAAUAAGAGUUUUAGUACUAGUAAAAUACUAUUAUUCUUAUUAUUUUUUUAUUUAUUUAAUAAAGUAGGGUUGGAUUUAUAUCUAACUUCUAGUUUUAAGGUUUUUUAUGGGUUGAUUUAAGUUGAAGAUAUUAUUAAGUAGGGAGUUUAGCUAGAGUGGUAUAUUUGUUAAACUAUAAUAUAGGUAUUUUAAGGGGGGUUUAUAGAGAAUAGAAAUUUCUAGUAGAAUAAAAGGGUAAAAGUUUUUUUGAUUUUAAUUUUUAGUAUAAAUAUAAACUAUAAAAAUAUAACUUAUUAAUUUUUUAAUAUUUUAAAAUUUGAAGUUAGAAGUAUUAGAAAAAUUACUAUA
rnacentral:ncRNA from 1 species